rnacentral:rRNA from 1 species
AGAGUUUGAUCCUGGCUCAGGAUGAACGCUAGCGGCAGGCCUAAUACAUGCAAGUCGAGGGGUAUAUUUCUUUCGGGAGAUAGAGACCGGCGCACGGGUGCGUAACACGUAUGCAACCUGGCCACUACAGGGGGAUAGCCCGGGGAAACCCGGAUUAAUACGCCAUAAGACAUUGGCCUCGCAUGGGGCAGAUGUUAAAGAUUUAUCGGUAGUGGAUGGGCAUGCGUCCGAUUAGCUAGUUGGUAGUGUAACGGACUACCAAGGCGACGAUCGGUAGGGGGUCUGAGAGGAUGAUCCCCCACACUGGUACUGAGAUACGGACCAGACUCCUACGGGAGGCAGCAGUAGGGAAUAUUGGGCAAUGGAGGCAACUCUGACCCAGCCAUGCCGCGUGCAGGAUGACGGCCUUCUGGGUUGUAAACUGCUUUUAUCAGGGAAGAAAACGCUCCUGCGGGGGUAACUGACGGUACCUGAGGAAUAAGCACCGGCUAACUCCGUGCCAGCAGCCGCGGUAAUACGGAGGGUGCAAGCGUUGUCCGGAUUUAUUGGGUUUAAAGGGUGCGUAGGCGGCUAAUUAAGUCAGUGGUGAAAGCCUGUAGCUCAACUAUAGAACUGCCAUUGAUACUGAUUAGCUUGAGUAUGGUUGAGGUAAGCGGAAUGGAUGGUGUAGCGGUGAAAUGCAUAGAUAUCAUCCAGAACACCGAUAGCGAAGGCAGCUUACUGGGCCGAAACUGACGCUGAGGCACGAAAGCAUGGGGAUCGAACAGGAUUAGAUACCCUGGUAGUCC